rnacentral:rRNA from 1 species
UAGGGAAUCUUCGGCAAUGGGGGGAACCCUAACCGAGCAACGCCGCGUGAGUGAAGAAGGUUUUCGGAUCGUAAAGCUCUGUUGUUAAGGAAGAACGAGUGUGAGAAUGGAAAGUUCAUGCUGUGACGGUACUUAACCAGAAAGGGACGGCUAACUACGUGCCAGCAGCCGCGGUAAUACGUAGGUCCCGAGCGUUGUCCGGAUUUAUUGGGCGUAAAGCGAGCGCAGGCGGUUAGAAAAGUCUGAAGUGAAAGGCAGUGGCUCAACCAUUGUAGGCUUUGGAAACUGUUUAACUUGAGUGCAGAAGGGGAGAGUGGAAUUCCAUGUGUAGCGGUGAAAUGCGUAGAUAUAUGGAGGAACACCGGUGGCGAAAGCGGCUCUCUGGUCUGUAACUGACGCUGAGGCUCGAAAGCGUGGGGAGCGAACAGG